rnacentral:rRNA from 1 species
AUUGAACGCUGGCGGCAUGCUUUACACAUGCAAGUCGAACGGCAACGCGGGCUUCGGCCUGUCGGCGAGUGGCGAACGGGUGAGUAAUGCAUCGGAACGUGCCCAGUCGUGGGGGAUAGCCCGGCGAAAGCCGGAUUAAUACCCCAUACGACCUGAGGGUGAGAGCGGGGGACCGAAAGGCCUCGCGCUAUUGGAGCGGCCGAUGUCGGAUUAGCUAGUUGGUGGGGUAAUGGCUUACCAAGGCGACGAUCCGUAGCUGGUCUGAGAGGACGACCAGCCACACUGGGACUGAGACACGGCCCAGACUCCUACGGGAGGCAGCAGUGGCGAAUUGUGGACGAUGGGGGCAACCCUGAUCCAGCCAUGCCGCGCGCGGGAAGAAGGGCCUCGGGUUGUAAGACGCUUUUGUUCGGGAAGAAAUCCUCUGGGCUAAUACCCCGGGGGGAUGACGGUACCGGAAGAAUAAGCACCGGCUAACUACGUG